AUUUUAAGGAAAUUUUGAAGUUUUUGGUUAUUAUCUUGAAUAUUAUAAUAGAUAGAGAUAAACUGUAAACAGCAAUAACGUUCAGCAAAGUAAGAUCUACAAAUAAGUCAACAUGACCAAAAUCGUCAGUUUACCCGUUAAGGAGUUAUUGCCCUUUAUAGUCAUUUUUUAACAAUUUUCAUAAAUUUUUGUAAAUUUUUGUAAAUUUUUAGAAUAUAUUCUCCACUGUAAUUACUGGGCCAAGUUAAUUAUAGAUAGAGAUAAUUGUAGCAAGAAGAAUGUCCAGUAAAGUAAGAUCUACAAACACAUCAUGAUCACCAAAACACAAUAUUGUCAUGAAUUUAUCUGUGUCCAUUGUUUAAUAUGCACAUAGACCCAGGUGAGCGACACAGGCUCUUGAGAGCCUCUAGUUUUUUUAUGGUUAACCAUUAUUGAAAUUUUUUGUGGUAUUAUUAUUUUCUGCUACAUAGUACAGACUCCUGCUUUUCUAAUUUCUUGAAACAUCUAGAAAAGAAAAAUAGUUCAUAAAGAAAAUGAAGAUUUGAUUGAGAUAAAACAUGUAACAAAAUAUAAAUGAAUAUUUUGAAAAAAAUUAUUUUUAAUGUCAGAGUUAAGGGACCAGCAGUAACAUACCUUGUUUAAUGCAUGUUUUGUUUUAAUAAGUGCUAUUAGCCUAUUACAUUUCAUUAUUCAUUGACAUGCAUCUUAA
rnacentral:lncRNA from 1 species